rnacentral:misc_RNA from 1 species
AUCGCUGCAUAUGAGUUUCCAUAUGUUGAGGAAAGUCCAUGCUCACAGGUGCUGAAAUGCACGUAGUGUUCGUGCUUGAUGAAAUCAUAAAUCAAGGGAGUUGUUAAUCAACUUACGGCAGGGAAAUGAGCUAAGUCGCAAGAUAGGCUCAAAAUACCUUGAAAGUGCCACAGUGACGAAGUCAAAUUGGAAACAAUUUGAGUGGAACGAGGUAAACCCCACGAGUGAGAAACCCAAAUUUUGGUAGGGGCAUCUUGGAUUAGGGAAUCAUAAACCGAAACAAGGACUGUUCGC